GAUGAAGAACGUAGCGAAAUGCGAUAAGUAAUGUGAAUUGCAGAAUUCAGUGAAUCAUCGAAUCUUUGAACGCACAUUGCGCCCAUCAGUAUUCUGUUGGGCAUGCCUGUCCGAGCGUCAUUUCAACCCUCAGGGCCCGUUCGCGGGAACUGGUGUUGGGGAUCGGCCUCCCCCCGGAGGCCGGCCCCGAAAUGCAGUGGCGGCUCUACCGCGAUCUCCUCUGUGUAGUAGCACACACCUCGCACCGGAGCGCGGAGGCGGUCACGCCGUAAAACGCCCAACUUUCUUAGAGUUGACCUCGGAUCAGGUAGGAAUACCCGCUGAACUUAAGCAUAUCAAUAAGCGGAGGA
rnacentral:misc_RNA from 1 species